GACGAACGCUGGCGGCGUGCUUAACACAUGCAAGUCGAGCGGUAAGGCUCCUUCGGGAGUACACGAGCGGCGAACGGGUGAGUAACACGUGAGCAAUCUGCCCUUCACUUUGGGAUAACUCCGGGAAACCGGUGCUAAUACCGAAUGCGACCACUUCAGGCAUCUGACGGUGGUGGAAAGUUCCGGCGGUGAAGGAUGAGCUCGCGGCCUAUCAGCUUGUUGGUGAGGUAAUGGCUCACCAAGGCUUCGACGGGUAGCCGGCCUGAGAGGGUGACCGGCCACACUGGGACUGAGACACGGCCCAGACUCCUACGGGAGGCAGCAGUGGGGAAUAUUGGACAAUGGGCGAAAGCCUGAUCCAGCAACGCCGCGUGAGGGAUGACGGCCUCGGUGUAACGUACUUCUAGCA
rnacentral:rRNA from 1 species